rnacentral:rRNA from 1 species
CACGUAGGGUGCGAGCGUUGUCCGGAAUUAUUGGGCGUAAAGAGCUCGUAGGCGGUGUGUCGCGUCGGCCGUGAAAACUUGCAGCUUAACUGUGGGCGUGCGGUCGAUACGGGCAUCACUGGAGUUCGGCAGGGGAGACUGGAAUUCCUGGUGUAGCGGUGAAAUGCGCAGAUAUCAGGAGGAACACCGGUGGCGAAGGCAGCUCACUGGGACGGUACUGACGCUGAGACGCGAAAGCGUGGGGAGCAAACAGG